CAUUAUUUUGUCAGUUCUAACUUUUUGACUCAUCUACCUGCAACUGAAGGGAAAAUCAGAGUUAGAGCUUGGAGCAGACAUUGAAAUAUUUACAGGUCAUAAAGAUUAGAGAAAUUGUUGGCUUGAAGUUAAAAAGGAGAAGAAAAAAACUAGAUUUUGUGGUUGAGCAGAGCUGCAUCAAUUGUGGUGUUUGCAUGGGC